AUUGAACGCUGGCGGAAUGCUUUACACAUGCAAGUCGAACGGCAGCACGGGGGCAACCCUGGUGGCGAGUGGCGAACGGGUGAGUAAUACAUCGGAACGUGCCCAGUCGUGGGGGAUAACGUAGCGAAAGUUACGCUAAUACCGCAUACGAUCUACGGAUGAAAGCGGGGGACCGUAAGGCCUCGCGCGCUUGGAGCGGCCGAUGUCAGAUUAGGUAGUUGGUGAGGUAAGGCUCACCAAGCCGACGAUCUGUAGCUGGUCUGAGAGGACGACCAGCCACACUGGGACUGAGACACGGCCCAGACUCCUACGGGAGGCAGCAGUGGGGAAUUUUGGACAAUGGGCGCAAGCCUGAUCCAGCCAUUCCGCGUGCAGGACGAAGGCCUUCGGGUUGUAAACUGCUUUUGUACGGAACGAAAAGGCUCUGGUUAAUACCCGGGGCUCAUGACGGUACCGUAAGAAUAAGCACCGGCUAACUACGUGCCAGCAGCCGCCGUAA
rnacentral:rRNA from 1 species